rnacentral:rRNA from 1 species
GACGAACGCUGGCGGCGUGCUUAACACAUGCAAGUCGAACGCUGAAGCUCAGCUUUUGUUGGGUGGAUGAGUGGCGAACGGGUGAGUAACACGUGAGUAACCUGCCCCCUUCUUUGGGAUAACGCCCGGAAACGGGUGCUAAUACUGGAUAUUCACUGGUCUUCGCAUGGGGGUUGGUGGAAAGGGUUUUUCUGGUGGGGGAUGGGCUCGCGGCCUAUCAGCUUGUUGGUGGGGUGAUGGCCUACCAAGGCUUUGACGGGUAGCCGGCCUGAGAGGGUGACCGGUCACAUUGGGACUGAGAUACGGCCCAGACUACUACGGGAGGCAGCAGUGGGGAAAAUUGCACAAUGGGCGCAAGACUGAUGCAGCGACGCCGCGUGAGGGAUGGAGGCCUGCGGGUUGUGAACCUCUUUCGCUCAUGGUCAAGCCGCAACAAUGGUUGUGGUGAGGGUAGUGGGUAAAGAAGCGCCGGCUAACUACGUG